rnacentral:rRNA from 1 species
AGUGAACGCUGGCGGUAGGCCUAACACAUGCAAGUCGAACGGCAGCACAGUAAGAGCUUGCUCUUACGGGUGGCGAGUGGCGGACGGGUGAGGAAUACAUCGGAAUCUACUCUUUCGUGGGGGAUAACGUAGGGAAACUUACGCUCAUACCGCAUACGCCCUACGGGUGAAAGCAGUGGAUCUUCUGACCUUGCGCGAUUGAAUUAGCCGAUUUCGGAUUAGCUAGUUGGCGGGGUAACGGCCCACCAAGGCGACGAUCCGUAGCUGGUCUGAGAGGAUGAUCAGCCACACUGGAACUGAGACACGGUCCAGACUCCUACGGGAGGCAGCAGUGGGGAAUAUUGGACAAUGGGCGCAAGCCUGAUCCAGCCAUACCGCGUGGGUGAAGAAGGCCUUCGGGUUGUAAAGCCCUUUUGUUGGGAAAGAAAAGCAGCAGGUUAAUACCCCGCUGUUCUGACGGUACCCAAAGAAUAAGCACCGGCUAACUUCGUG